GACGAACGCUGGCGGCGUGCUUAACACAUGCAAGUCGAACGGAAAGGCCCUGCUUUUGUUGGGUGCUCGAGUGGCGAACGGGUGAGUAACACGUGAGUAACCUGCCCUUGACUGUGGGGUAACUUCAGGUAACUGUGGCUAAUACUGGAUAGUAGCUCCUGCUGCUUGGUGUUGCUUGGAAAGUUUCGGCGGUUGGGUAUGGAGUCGCGGCUAAUUAGCUUGUUGGUGGGGUAGUGUCUUGCCAAGGAAUUGACGGGUCGCCGGCCUGAGAGGGUGACAGGCCCCAUAGGGACUCAGGUAGGGGCAGGAGUGCAACUGGGGGCAGCGGUGGGGAAUAUUGCACAAUGGGCGGAGGCCUUAUGCAGCAACGCCGCGUGGGGGAUGACGGCUUUAGGGUUGUAACCGGCUUUAGCGUGUGACGAAGCGUGAGUGACGGUAAUGGGUAAAGAAGCACCGGCUAACUACGUG
rnacentral:rRNA from 1 species